UGUCAGAUUGAACGCUGGCGGCAGGCCUAACACAUGCAAGUCGAGCGGUAACAGAAAGUAGCUUGCUACUUUGCUGACGAGCGGCGGACGGGUGAGUAAUGCUUGGGAACAUGCCUUGAGGUGGGGGACAACAGUUGGAAACGACUGCUAAUACCGCAUAAUGUCUACGGACCAAAGGGGGCUUCGGCUCUCGCCUUUAGAUUGGCCCAAGUGGGAUUAGCUAGUUGGUGAGGUAAUGGCUCACCAAGGCGACGAUCCCUAGCUGGUUUGAGAGGAUGAUCAGCCACACUGGGACUGAGACACGGCCCAGACUCCUACGGGAGGCAGCAGUGGGGAAUAUUGCACAAUGGGCGCAAGCCUGAUGCAGCCAUGCCGCGUGUGUGAAGAAGGCCUUCGGGUUGUAAAGCACUUUCAGUCAGGAGGAAAGGUUAGUAGUUAAUACCUGCUAGCUGUGACGUUACUGACAGAAGAAGCACCGGCUAACUCC
rnacentral:rRNA from 1 species